rnacentral:rRNA from 1 species
CCCUUAGAUGUCCUGGGCCGCACGCGCGCUACACUGAUGCAUUCAACGAGUAUUUCCUUGGCCGAGAGGCCUGGGCAAUCUUUUAAACCUGCAUCGUGAUAGGGAUAGAUUAUUGCAAUUAUUAAUCUUGAACGAGGAAUUCCUAGUAAACGCAAAUCAUCAAUUUGCAUUGAUUACGUCCCUGCCCUUUGUACACACCGCCCGUCGCACCUACCGAUUGAAUGGUCCGGUGAAAUCUCGGGAUUGUGGCCAGUUCACUUUAUUGGGAGUUGGCUGCGAGAACUUGCUUAAACCUUAUCAUUUAGAGGGAGGUGAAGUCGUAACA